AUGCGAUCGAUCGAUCGAUUCUCUCUUCUUUUUUACAAUGGUUUUUCUCUGUUGAUCAAAAUUCUCUCUUCAAAAUACGAACAAAAAUCUCAGGCGCAAACGCUACUUCGAUUGGUGUUCGUUUCAACGUUGAACCUGAAAACCCACGAUUUCAACUUCAACCCCCUAAUUUCUGUUAUGCCGAUUUUGCCCUUGUUAUUAUUCUAUUUUCGUUUUUUUCUUUCUUUUUGGAAAACCCGCGUUCGUGUUAUUAGCAGCGCUAAAUUCCC